CCGGAGUGCUAGGGUGGGACAGUAAGUUCUUCUAGAAGGAAACUACAGCCCCCACCUUCGGAGAAGAACCUCUUGAAGGACUUGGCACGGGCUGCUGGGAGGCUUGCCCUGCCUUAGGGUCUUGCAUGUCCCAGGUCUGGCGGCCGAACAUGAAAGCGCUCAGGGCCUUGGGCUUGCAUACUGUUUCACUUGUUCUCCACAGGGGGCUGGGAGAGAGCAGAGGGACGCCAUUGUUUCUCUCCAUUCUACAGAUUUGAAAGCUGAGGCUCUUCAAGAUUAAAGGGCAUUAUCCAAAUUCACACCGAGGAGCUUGACCUGCUGGAGCUUGUGAAGGGACUGGUACUGUGGAAUGAUGCCCACAAGAUCUCCAAGACUCAGAGUGGCCACAUGAUAUCCCAGAAGAGUUCUGGUGAGGAUCCAGUGAUAAUGGUGUACCAGAAACGGAGGCCUUGAUUCAGACCAGUGACUCACCUCAAUGAACAUUUGCCAGUCAAGCUGAUGGGACAAAGAGGAUCUAAUUGGAAGGAGAAACAGUUCAUUUCCAAACCAGCAGCUGUGGAUCCUUUUAAAAUAUAACGGUGCUUCUGCUGGGUGUAGUGGUGCACGUCUUUGAUCCCAGCACUGGAGAGGCAGAGGCAGGCAGAUCUCCCAGAGUUCAAGGCCAGCCUGGUCUACAGAGGGAGUUCCAGGACAACCAAAGCUACAUACAAAGAGGACCGAAGAACAAAGAAUUGAAGAGAUUUCUCCAGAUUCACAGCAAAUUUGAAGAGUUUCACUGAAAAUUCUUCUAUUAAGUAGCCAGUAUUCCUUAUGAAGUUUUGUAAAUUUAACCUUUUAGUCUCUUAUUCUUUACUUGCCUUCAAUUAUUAAAGAAAAAAUCCCCUACCCAGAGAGCAGAAAUCACCAUGGAUAAAAUUACAGCUGGUGUUGACUUCAUGGGUUGGAUGAAGAUUAAAAGUGACUUACUAGGCAGUGAGAUUGCUCAGCGGGCAAAGAUGCUGGAUGCUAAACCUGAUAACCCGAGUUCAGCCUCCAGGUCCCAUGUGAUGGAAGGAGUGAACUGACUCCUGAGAGUUGUCCUCACACACAUUAAAACAAAUACAUUUUUAAAAAAUAAUGACUUACUGUUGCCACUCAAACUUCUGGGGGUUUCUCUUUACCAUUGUGAUGAGAAAGGUG
rnacentral:lncRNA from 1 species